rnacentral:rRNA from 1 species
CGGACGGGUGAGUAACACGUGGAUAACCUACCUAUAAGACUGGGAUAACUUCGGGAAACCGGAGCUAAUACCGGAUAAUAUUUUGAACCGCAUGGUUCAAAAGUGAAAGACGGUCUUGCUGUCACUUAUAGAUGGAUCCGCGCUGCAUUAGCUAGUUGGUAAGGUAACGGCUUACCAAGGCAACGAUGCAUAGCCGACCUGAGAGGGUGAUCGGCCACACUGGAACUGAGACACGGUCCAGACUCCUACGGGAGGCAGCAGUAGGGAAUCUUCCGCAAUGGGCGAAAGCCUGACGGAGCAACGCCGCGUGAGUGAUGAAGGUCUUCGGAUCGUAAAACUCUGUUAUUAGGGAAGAACAUAUGUGUAAGUAACUGUGCACAUCUUGACGGUACCUAAUCAGAAAGCCACGGCUAACUACGUGCCAGCAGCCGCGGUAAUACGUAGGUGGCAAGCGUUAUCCGGAAUUAUUGGGCGUAAAGCGCGCGUAGGCGGUUUUUUAAGUCUGAUGUGAAAGCCCACGGCUCAACCGUGGAGGGUCAUUGGAAACUGGAAAACUUGAGUGCAGAAGAGGAAAGUGGAAUUCCAUGUGUAGCGGUGAAAUGCGCAGAGAUAUGGAGGAACACCAGUGGCGAAGGCGACUUUCUGGUCUGUAACUGACGCUGAUGUGCGAAAGCGUGGGGAUCAAACAGGAUUAGAUACCCUGGUAGUCCACGCCGUAAACGAUGAGUGCUAAGUGUUAGGGGGUUUCCGCCCCUUAGUGCUGCAGCUAACGCAUUAAGCACUCCGCCUGGGGAGUACGACCGCAAGGUUGAAACUCAAAGGAAUUGACGGGGACCCGCACAAGCGGUGGAGCAUGUGGUUUAAUUCGAAGCAACGCGAAGAACCUUACCAAAUCUUGACAUCCU